ACUAUUCACACUGAAGAUGAAGCUCUUAAACUUGCUCAAAUCUUAACCCCUUUAAUCUCCUUACCACCUAGGUAUGAAUGCCAAGGAAGUGAGGUUUAUGCUGAGAGGUUGACGACCAAGAAGUUGAACAAGCUUAUAGAGGGCACCGCUUGUUAGUGAUCAAUUCUUCUUGUGUUUUUGGUGGAUGUAUAUAAAUAUAGUGGUUCAAUUGAGAAUUAUUGGACUCAAACUAAUUAAGUUCUGUUUUGCC